UUUAUGCGGCGUUCUGUAUAUGCUGUAUAGGAGCGUUCUGUGCAAGCGGUACACUAAAAACGCAUUGUGUACACACCGGUCUUACUGACAAUAACGUAGUGACGUCAUCAAUGUAUAGAAUGCUAAAAACGAACAAGGACACACGGUGCCUAUACCACGUGACUUUUUAAGAUCUGUGUGGGGACUAAAAUGUCAACAAAAGCGCGACGAAGGUAUGGCCCAAUGCUCCGAAUGCGGAAAAAUGUUGAAGACCAGAGCUGGAUUAUUGCGCCACAUUAGGAGAUACGCUAACUCUGGAAACUAUUACUGCUGUGGGAAAGCAUUUCAGAAGGCUUCAAAGAACGAAGGACCCCAUGAUGUGUGUACAGUGCGGCAGGAGCUUUUCGGACAAGUACCUACCUACCCGUGGCUCGAGAGAAAAGUGCAAAAAAGAGGGAUUGUCGAACUGUUACCAGUGUGGCUUGGCAGUGAGAUUGACCUCAAAGAGCACGACAAGCCCCACAUGCCUGACAAGUAUUACAUAUAUGAGGAGUGUUUCAAACGCACAGUCGCAAAACAAAUCUCUCUCGACACGUGAGCACUUCACAUAAAUCCAUGAAUACUGAUUAAUAAUCAUAAUAGUUUACAGUUUGUCUGUGUAACUUGAGUAUCGUUUUACGUUAUUUUAUUCGUUGUUUUAUUUUAACUCUCCUUUUCAAUAUUUUUUUAAAGUUAUCCGAAUUUGAUUAGUUUUUGUGUUUCGUUAAGUUCGUUUGUGUGUUUCUUUUGAAAUUAUUGUCAAAUAAUUGUGCAAUAAGUUAGAUUUACGUUAUUCAUUUAUGAAUCGCAUCUGUGAUUUGUAUUAUCUAAUCUGUGAUUCUUUAUUAACUAUAACUUGAUUAACGUUUGGCGAUGUUUUUUCGUUGAUUUCAAUUUUAAAUACCGCUGUCUGAAGCUAGUUUGAUAAUCAUAAGCAGCCAGGGUUUCUAAAAAGUAGUGAUUUUCACGAUUGCUUUACAUUAUUAACUGCCUGCUUAUACUUAUUCUAGGCCGUGGUAAUUGACAAUAAACAAUGUAGGCGAUGAGGUUGAGUAUACAAUGCAAUACUCCUUAAUUUAUUCGAAAUACGUCUUGACAUUCUUCACAGCUGCAUCCCACCACAACACAAGAGGAGAAUCGUACAUAUAUAUUCAUUUAAUAUAAGUUAUUCAUUUACUUUUUAUAUUCUCUUCAAAAUAAUUAACACUAAAUAUAAGCAUACACUUGUUACACUGAAUACAAUGUCAUAAUUUAUAACAUGACAUUAUACAAACACAUGGCGCAUGAUUGUAAAUAUCUAUACUAUGUAAUAAACUAAUUCUACAAUAUGAAUUCCAUAAAUGAAAAUAACACACACAAACACACACAUAUAUAAUAUAUAUAUAUGUUUCUACAAUGACCAUUAUUUUGUUUUUAGUAAAUCGUGCCGGUUAUUUUUCAACUUUAAAUAACAACAAAAUAGAAAAUAAUGUCGAAAAUGUAUGAUUUGUUUGGUCGUUUAAAGUUUCUUCACAAUGAUGCAAGGCACUUUGAAAUCCAUGAUAAACCAAUACGUCUGGUGGAUUCAGUUUUAUCAGUUUUUAUUUCACAUUUGAUUUUAAAACAGACAUAUUUCUCAGGAAAGAACAUGCCUUUGCUUUUUGUCAACCUGUGUAAUAUUUGACACAAUCUCUAUUGCAGAAUUUGUGUUCGAAUUAAAUUUUCAAUUGUGUUCGUCUAUCCCCAUUCUUAUUGUUGGCAACAGUUUCUGUCAGGCUAUCGCUUCGUCUCGCCCGCACCCAACUUACUCCUAGUGUCCCCUUCUGUAUAGCAUUUCUGUCUCGUGAAACUGUUUCCUCUUUUUUCUUCCCUUAUCCCUUUCCGCUCACUAGUGUCAAAUAUGUCAUUACUGAAAAGAAUCAUUUUUUAAUGAUAAUAAUAGAUCUACUACUACUACUAUUACUUCUUCUUCUACUACUACUACUACUACUACUACUACUACUACUACUUCUACUACUACUACUACUACUACAUGUACUACUACUACUACUACUACUACUACUACUACUACUACUACUACUACUACUACUACUACUACUACUAC